UACGUAGGGUGCAAGCGUUAAUCGGAAUUACUGGGCGUAAAGCGUGCGCAGGCGGUGAUGUAAGACAGAUGUGAAAUCCCCGGGCUCAACCUGGGAACUGCAUUUGUGACUGCAAGGCUGGAGUACGGUAGAGGGGGAUGGAAUUCCGCGUGUAGCAGUGAAAUGCGUAGAUAUGCGGAGGAACACCGAUGGCGAAGGCAAUCCCCUGGACCUGUACUGACGCUCAUGCACGAAAGCGUGGGGAGCAAACAGG
rnacentral:rRNA from 1 species